AUUGAACGCUGGCGGCAUGCCUUACACAUGCAAGUCGAACGGUAACAGGGAGCUUGCUCCGCUGACGAGUGGCGAACGGGUGAGUAAUGUAUCGGAACGUACCAUUCAGUGGGGGAUAACGUAGCGAAAGUUACGCUAAUACCGCAUAUUCUGUGAGCAGGAAAGCAGGGGAUCGCAAGACCUUGCGCUGAUUGAGCGGCCGAUAUCAGAUUAGCUAGUUGGUGAGGUAAAGGCUCACCAAGGCGACGAUCUGUAGCGGGUCUGAGAGGAUGAUCCGCCACACUGGAACUGAGACACGGUCCAGACUCCUACGGGAGGCAGCAGUGGGGAAUUUUGGACAAUGGGGGCAACCCUGAUCCAGCCAUGCCGCGUGAGUGAAGAAGGCCUUCGGAUCGUAAAGCUCUGUUAUCAGGGAAGAAGAAAUAGACGGUACCUGAUGAGCAAGUCCCGGCUAACUACGUGCCAGCAGCCGAC
rnacentral:rRNA from 1 species